UUUGUUGUGUAUAAGCAUAUUCCAAAGGUCUAAUUUCUAUAAAAUUGUUUGUGGUAGACUGGGAGGACUAUGUAAAAAUUGACUGAACUAUGUUCUUUUGAAAAUGAAAGACCAACUGAGAAAUGGAGUAUACAUUGGUUUGCCUUAUUGAAAUGCAUAGAAAGUGUGGAGAACAAAAGGGAAAAUUCAAAUUGAAUCUUAUAAGUGUGAUAUAAACAAAUGAAUUUCAUUUAAUGGGCUUGUAGACUAAAAUUUAGGGAGAAAUUAAAGGGUUACCUUCCGGUCAUUGGUGGUUAGCUCUGUGAAAUUUUGUUGCUUUGGUUUGUAAUGCUGAUGAUAUUUGUUAAACUUUUUUUGUUAUUCUAUUUUUAAUUUUCUCUUUAUUUGUGUUCUUAAUUUUUCUCUUUCUAGGGAUAUCAAAUGUGCCAAUAUUCUAGUGGAUGC
rnacentral:misc_RNA from 1 species